UAAUACAGAGGGUGCGAGCGUUGUCCGGAAUCACUGGGCGUAAAGGGCGCGUAGGUGGCCCGACCAGUCAGUGGUGAAAGCUCGACGCUUAACGUCGAGUCGGCCACUGAUACUGUUGGGCUGGAGCACUGUAGAGGCUCAUGGAAUUCCGGGUGUAGCGGUGGAAUGCGUAGAGAUCCGGAAGAACACCGGUGGCGAAGGCGGUGAGCUGGGCAGUUGCUGACACUGAGGCGCGACAGCGUGGGGAGCAAACAGGAUUAGAUACCCUGGUAGUCCACGCCGUAAACGAUGGGCACUAGAUGCUUGGGGGAGCGACCCCCUGAGUGUCGACGCUAACGCAUUAAGUGCCCCGCCUGGGGAGUACGGCCGCAAGGCUG
rnacentral:rRNA from 1 species